CCCUUAGAUGUUCUGGGCUGCACGCGUGUUACAAUGGUCUUCGCAAACGGAUGCAUUCUCGAAGGAGAAUGCCAAUCUUGGAAUCUAUGCCUUGGUCGGGACAGUUGCUUGCAAUUUUUCGACUCGAACCAGGAAUUCCUUGUAAUCGUGAUUCAUCACAUCACGAUGAAUACGUCCCUGCCCUUUGUACACACCGCCCGUCGCUCCUACCGAUCGAAGAGUUAGGUGAAUUGUUUUGAUCGAUAAGAUUUGACUAUGGUCAACUCUCGUUGUGAAAUUCUGUGAAUCUGACUGUUUAGAGGAAGGAAAAGUCGUAACA
rnacentral:rRNA from 1 species